AUGGCGGACACAGUCUGCUCUGCCGUCGCCGGCGAGGCAGUGCAAAGAUUAUGUUUGCUUUUAUCAGGAGAAGGCGAGACCGGCGAGAUGAAGGUGGAUCGAGUAGAAAUGGCCGUGCUCAAGCUCCAGACCAUCGUCGCCAUGUCCGAAGACUGGCAGGUCACGCACGCACCGCUGCUCCGUCGGAAGGCCAAGUUGAAGCGUGUGAUCAAGGAAGGCAAAGGCAUCGUACGCUCCAACAAAAGAAACACCGGCACCUUGGAGGAGCCGGGGAUGGCGCGAAGCAGCUCCUUUCCACGGCGCGUGGCGCGAGCAGCCAAGCGGUUCAUGCCGUUCAGCCGGGGUACAGUUCCCGGCGACGAUCUGACCGACUCCGCGGUGCGGAGGUUCGAGAGGAUAGCCGACGGCGCCGACGGCUUCUUCGAGUUGGUCAGGUGCGGCGGCCGUCCCAAGACCCUGAUGUUCCUCCCGUCGUUCGCGCGGUCGUUGGCGGCCGGGGAGGCGGCGGAAUUGUCGCUCAGGAUGGAGGGCGGCACCGCGGUGAUGCUGCUCCAGCCAUGGUGGCUUGAGCUCGAAGGAGGCGACGGGACGACGGCGGCGGCGGCGUGCCUGUGGAUGUCCUACGAGCACGACGUGGCGUGGGAGAAGAACUUCAAGAUGAUGGCGGCGUUCCGCGUCUCCGAGUCCCUGGACGCCAUGAGGGUCGCCACGAGCUGCGUCGAGCUCCUGCCGCCCCAGUUCGGCGCUGCCCGUGAGGCCAUGAAGGAUCUCCUCGCCGGGAUGGCCGUCCACGGAAGGAACUCCCCUGCCCCGUCUGCCAUGUACCCGUCCUUCGUUCGCGCCGUCCAACGCUGCCACCGCUACGGCUUCGAGCCGACGCGGCCCCGGGCCGCGCCACGGUCGCGGUUGCCCGCUGAGAUCCUGAUGGCGUGCGCCCACUUCUACAUCCUCCCGCUCCAGAAUUCGUCCGGUUUGCCUCUGGAGCUGGUCUGGCACAGCUCCCCGGUUUACCUGCCCAAGAAGCUCUCGGAGCAGCACGAGCACGUCGAGCCGGAGCAGAUACGCGCCGGCCUGUUGCCGACGACGGCAGAUGGGCUUUCCUACCACGACGAGGCAGGAGGAUCAUUCGAGCUCGGGAGGCAAUGGUGGUGUCCGCACAGCUCGACGCGCCUGUCGGUGGUGCCGGUGCCUUCACCGCCCAAAUCCACAUUUGGACAGUGGUGCAAGGGAAGUUGGACAUUUCGCGGGAAAUAA
rnacentral:rRNA from 1 species